UUUGUAGUGCUCACACAGAUUGUCUGAUGAAAAUAAAGAAGAAAGUCGUCUAGGGGAUAUGAACCGUUAUAACCGGCGAUGUCCGAAUGGGGAAACCCAGUGCAAUUCGUUGCACUAUCGUUAACUGAAUACAUAGGUUAACGAGGCGAACCGGGGGAACUGAAACAUCUAAGUACCCCGAGGAAAAGAAAUCAACCGAGAUUCCCCCAGUAGCGGCGAGCGAACGGGGAGCAGCCCAGAGUCUGAAUCAGCUUGUGUGUUAGUGGAACGGUCUGGAAAGUCCGACGGUACAGGGUGAUAGUCCCGUACACCAAAAUGCACAGGUUGUGAACUCGAAGAGUAGGGCGGGACACGUGGUAUCCUGUCUGAAUAUGGGGGGACCAUCCUCCAAGGCUAAAUACUCCUGACUGACCGAUAGUGAACCAGUACCGUGAGGGAAAGGCGAAAAGAACCCCGGCGAGGGGAGUGAAAAAGAACCUGAAACCGUGUACGUACAAGCAGUGGGAGCACCUUCGGGUGUGACUGCGUACCUUUUGUAUAAUGGGUCAGCGACUUAUAUUCUGUAGCAAGGUUAACCGUAUAGGGGAGCCGCAGGGAAACCGAGUCUUAACUGGGCGUUAAGUUGCAGGGUAUAGACCCGAAACCCGGUGAUCUAGCCAUGGGCAGGUUGAAGGUUGGGUAACACUAACUGGAGGACCGAACCGACUAAUGUUGAAAAAUUAGCGGAUGACUUGUGGCUGGGGGUGAAAGGCCAAUCAAACCGGGAGAUAGCUGGUUCUCCCCGAAAGCUAUUUAGGUAGCGCCUCGUGAAUUCAUCUUCGGGGGUAGAGCACUGUUUCGGCUAGGGGGUCAUCCCGACUUACCAACCCGAUGCAAACUACGAAUACCGAAGAAUGUUAUCACGGGAGACACACGGCGGGUGCUAACGUCCGUCGUGAAGAGGGAAACAACCCAGACCGCCAGCUAAGGUCCCAAAGUCAUGGUUAAGUGGGAAACGAUGUGGGAAGGCACAGACAGCCAGGAUGUUGGCUUAGAAGCAGCCAUCAUUUAAAGAAAGCGUAAUAGCUCACUGGUCGAGUCGGCCUGCGCGGAAGAUGUAACGGGGCUAAACCAUGCACCGAAGCUGCGGCAGCGACACUAUGUGUUGUUGGGUAGGGGAGCGUUCUGUAAGCCUGCGAAGGUGUGCUGUGAGGCAUGCUGGAGGUAUCAGAAGUGCGAAUGCUGACAUAAGUAACGAUAAAGCGGGUGAAAAGCCCGCUCGCCGGAAGACCAAGGGUUCCUGUCCAACGUUAAUCGGGGCAGGGUGAGUCGACCCCUAAGGCGAGGCCGAAAGGCGUAGUCGAUGGGAAACAGGUUAAUAUUCCUGUACUUGGUGUUACUGCGAAGGGGGGACGGAGAAGGCUAUGUUAGCCGGGCGACGGUUGUCCCGGUUUAAGCAUGUAGGCUGGUUAUCCAGGCAAAUCCGGAUAAUCAAGGCUGAGGUGUGAUGACGAGGCACUACGGUGCUGAAGUAACAAAUGCCCUGCUUCCAGGAAAAGCCUCUAAGCAUCAGGUAACAUCAAAUCGUACCCCAAACCGACACAGGUGGUCAGGUAGAGAAUACCAAGGCGCUUGAGAGAACUCGGGUGAAGGAACUAGGCAAAAUGGUGCCGUAACUUCGGGAGAAGGCACGCUGGUGUGUAGGUGAAGCCCCUGCGGGUGGAGCUGAGACCAGUCGAAGAUACCAGCUGGCUGCAACUGUUUAUUAAAAACACAGCACUGUGCAAACACGAAAGUGGACGUAUACGGUGUGACGCCUGCCCGGUGCCGGAAGGUUAAUUGAUGGGGUUAUCCGUAAGGAGAAGCUCUUGAUCGAAGCCCCGGUAAACGGCGGCCGUAACUAUAACGGUCCUAAGGUAGCGAAAUUCCUUGUCGGGUAAGUUCCGACCUGCACGAAUGGCGUAAUGAUGGCCAGGCUGUCUCCACCCGAGACUCAGUGAAAUUGAACUCGCUGUGAAGAUGCAGUGUACCCGCGGCAAGACGGAAAGACCCCGUGAACCUUUACUAUAGCUUGACACUGAACAUUGAGCCUUGAUGUGUAGGAUAGGUGGGAGGCUUUGAAGCGUGGACGCCAGUCUGCGUGGAGCCAACCUUGAAAUACCACCCUUUAAUGUUUGAUGUUCUAACGUUGGCCCCUUACCGGGGUUGCGGACAGUGUCUGGUGGGUAGUUUGACUGGGGCGGUCUCCUCCCAAAGCGUAACGGAGGAGCACGAAGGUUAGCUAAUCCUGGUCGGACAUCAGGAGGUUAGUGCAAUGGCAUAAGCUAGCUUGACUGCGAGCGUGACGGCGCGAGCAGGUGCGAAAGCAGGUCAUAGUGAUCCGGUGGUUCUGAAUGGAAGGGCCAUCGCUCAACGGAUAAAAGGUACUCCGGGGAUAACAGGCUGAUACCGCCCAAGAGUUCAUAUCGACGGCGGUGUUUGGCACCUCGAUGUCGGCUCAUCACAUCCUGGGGCUGAAGUAGGUCCCAAGGGUAUGGCUGUUCGCCAUUUAAAGUGGUACGCGAGCUGGGUUUAGAACGUCGUGAGACAGUUCGGUCCCUAUCUGCCGUGGGCGCUGGAGAAUUGAGGGGGGCUGCUCCUAGUACGAGAGGACCGGAGUGGACGCAUCACUGGUGUUCGGGUUGUCAUGCCAAUGGCACUGCCCGGUAGCUAAAUGCGGAAGAGAUAAGUGCUGAAAGCAUCUAAGCACGAAACUUGCCCCGAGAUGAGUUCUCCCUGAGACUUUAAGUCUCCUGAAGGAACGUUGAAGACGACGACGUUGAUAGGCCGGGUGUGUAAGCGCAGCGAUGCGUUGAGCUAACCGGUACUAAUGAACCGUGAGGCUUAACCUU
rnacentral:rRNA from 1 species